UUUGCAGUGGAUGGGAUCCGUAAACUAUACGGCUUUAAGAGCCAACCAGGGAUUCUGAGGUGUCUUCCUUGGUUGACUACAUCCAUGAGACGACAAAACACACUGUGCAAAGGACCUUGAGAACAUCACCACUCUACAGGAAGACACAGUCCAGUAAUGGGUGUCAGAUGUUCAGCAGUGGACGACAGGACCAACCAAUCAAAAUGACUUGCAGAACGCCAUUGAGGACUCUAUUUGAGCAUUAAGCAGCAAAGAUUUCAGCUGUAUCGUCAGGCUGGCAGUACUGAGGCAUUUACGGAGACGGGACAUGAGGGUCUACUCUGCGUGCUCAAGAGAAGAUUGCACAAAGUUCAAGCUCAGCAGGCUGCAGUGGGUCCGACAUAUUCUGGAACGGCAACAAUG